rnacentral:ncRNA from 2 species
UCAUGUCCCGUGGGAGAGACCGGCCGCCCGGCCGGCGCCGAAGGCGCAACACCGCCCGGAAUCGCUCAGGCAGAAGGACCGCGGGAAUAAC